GCAGUGGUGGUUCAGGGGGAGAAUUCUCGCCCUCCAUGCAGGGGACUCGGGUUCGAUUCCCGGCCAAUGCG
rfam:Loxodonta africana cont3.94137, whole genome shotgun sequence.